rnacentral:lncRNA from 1 species
CCUCUCCCUUCUAUAGAAGACAUAUUAAAUUGUUGGUUUGGUUUCAGGGACUCCUGGUGAAAAAAAAAUGAGUGUUAUUAUUAUUUGCAUAAUCCUCCCCCCAAAUGCUUCUGUUAUUGCUGUGGAUUCUUCUUAUAAGUCAGACAAGUGGUUUCAAAGUGUGCUGACUACACAAAAUUAAACCCCUCACAGAUUAGGACAUGUCUCAAGAAGAGAGUGUGUGAGAGAUUGUAAGAGCUGGUUAUAAGAGGUGAAAGUGUAGACUUAGCUUGGCAUGACUGCAGCCAUCUUGAGUAAACUGUCAUGAUCACUAGAUGGCUUUUCCUGCUUCAUUUCCCAGCAAACAAUGAAUAAAUAACAACUGCUAGAAUGGUAUAUGGAGCUUUAUAACUGGUCCCUGGUGAUGAGAAUGUUCCUAAUAUUACCUUAAAACAAACCAGGUAUUCUGGCUUGAAUGAAGUCACUUUUGUCUUAACUUGGAUAUAUGCCCCUCCUUCUUCCUCAAACUGUGGGAUCCACUUGGUCUUGCUGCUGCCAAGGACCACACUUUCAUCAUUAUGUCUCAUAAUAAAUUGCACUCUGUGAGAUCCUAUAUCUGUUUCUUUGAUCUCAUGGCACCUUGGAUUUCAUUUUCAUACAAUGGGCCCAGGUUGUUUCAAAACAGUCACUUUCUUAUCCUGACUCCAGACCCUGACUCAGGACUGGGUUCAUGUUUCUGGUGCCCCUGCUUUGGGUUGUUCAUUGAGAUCUUAGAAGUGAAGCAAUGCAGGGGCCUUGCUGACAUCCAGAAGAACCAAUAUCAGGUUUUCCUUUCAUUAUCUCUGUCAACCUAGACUAGCUAUGUAACCUCCGUGGGUCCCAGACUCUUCCUACAUCAGGCAAUAUUUCAAGGUGAUGACAUUUUAAUGAAUUCAGUGCAUGAAUCUUGUAGCUGUUCAAUGUGAUUUUUAAAUCUGUAUUUCCAAGAAUGUAGUCAAGCCUUCUUCCUCCAGUCUCAAAGCUCUGUCUCUCAUGGUCUCUGAGAGAUAUAUUAGGGGCAAAAAAUCACUAAACCUGGCUUCUUCU